rnacentral:misc_RNA from 1 species
AGAGAGAGAGAGAGAGAGAGAGAGAGACCUUGGUUCUGGCGCCAGAAGGAGAACGGAUGACAUGAGGGCUGGUAUCUUCGACGCCGUCAGCAGUGGCUGAGGGGGAAGCAGAGCCGCCACCACCACCGCUCCAGGAAAGCGGCGUGGUAGGACUACAUCUAGCAGAAGAAUCUCCUUCUUUCCUCCUACAAACAACAUCACAUCGCACAGAUGAUAUAGCUGUCGUUGUCUUGGACCUCGGAAGUCGUAACCCCCAUCUAAGUGGAAUAACCGCCUGAGGUUUCGCCGUUGCCGCUGCUUGCGCUUGCUUGAGCCGCACAAGUAGCUCCACAACCACUCUAUCAUCUGUCAUAGCAGCCCUGAUCCACUCAUCCUUCACCAUCGCCACCGCCCUACACUUCCCA